rnacentral:lncRNA from 1 species
GGAUUUGAGACCCUGAGCCAGCUGAGCCAUGUGGACGAUAACAACGGUGCUCCCUUCAUAACAUUCUUAGGAAACGACGUGUAUGAUACGAAUGGUAUUGAUGACGAUGCACUUGUUACAAAGAUUAGCCAGAAAUGCAAAGCCAGGAAAAACCCUCUGAGGACACAGUAAGAAGGCGCCAUCUGCAGGCCAAGGAGAGGAACUUCACCCUGAUCCCAGCCUUGGAGCCUCUGGGCAGUGAGGAAAAGAAUGGCUGUCACUGAAGUCACCUGGCCUGAUGCUGUGGGAUUUGGGAAGGCAACCCAAACAGACGAAUGCGACGAUAAAAUUCUGACACAGCCCUUGGGUGAAGCUGUACCCAUCAUAUGCGUCCGUGUUUGAGCCGACCAACGCAAGGGCGUGUUUCCGCUACGGUCUGGAACUCUGCCUCGGAGAAGCCAAAUGGGACGUCUGAGCUGCCCGUUAGCUUGGUGAUGGCUGAGCAAGGAGAACCAACUAACCAGAGCCGACAGCCCGAAGCACGGGUCACUACUGGUUCUGAGCACAGCUCUGCUCUCCGAGUAGAACUAUUCACAGAAGCAGCAGCUAGUAAAACAGCGUGCCCGGCAAAGAUUUGCCCACAUAGAAAAUAACCUUAUUUCAAUAAAGGUUUCCUCUAACUUGU